GACCACACGGGAUAAUGAGGAUUAUCCCGUGUGGUCGCGUUAAGAUGCCCGCACGGGAUAAUCCAUUAUCCCGUGCGGGC
rnacentral:pre_miRNA from 14 species